rnacentral:rRNA from 1 species
GAUGAACGCUGGCGGCGUGCCUAAUACAUGCAAGUCGAGCGAACGGACGAGGCUUUUGCUUCACUGAUGUUACCGACGGAUGGGUGAGUAAUACGUGGAUAACCCACCUAUACGGCUGAAAUAAGUUAGGGAAAGCGUAGCUAAUACCGGAAAAUAUUUUGAUCGGGAUGGUUCAAAAGUGAAAUAGGGUUUUGAUGAGACUUAUAGAUGGAUGCGCGCUGCAUUGGCUAGUUGGUAAGGUAACGGCUUACCAAGGCAACGAUGCAUGGCCGACCUGAGAGGGGGUAGCGCCCCACAGAAGCUGAAACGCGGUCCAGACACCGAGGGGAGGCCGCAGUAGCUAAGCUUGCGCGAUGGGCGGAAGCCUGACGAAGCAGCGCCGCGUGAGUGAUGAGGGUCUUCGUAGCGGAAGACUCUGUUAGUAUUGAAGAACAUUUUUGUUAGUAACUAAGCAUUUUGUGACGGUACCUAAACAGGAAGCCCCGGCUAACUACGUG